rnacentral:rRNA from 1 species
ACGCUCGACACCUACGGGCAGCAGUGGGGAAUAUUGCACAAUGGGGGGAACCCUGAUGCAGCGACGCCGCGUGAGUGAAGAAGUACUUCGGUAUGUAAAGCUCUAUCAGCAGGGAAGAAAAUGACGGUACCUGACUAAGAAGCCCCGGCUAACUACGUGCCAACAGCCGCGGUAAUCUGAGCGGGCUGGCAAGGC